rnacentral:tRNA from 1 species
CGAGGUGUAGCGCAGCUGGUAGCGCGCCUGCUUUGGGAGCAGGAUGCCGCAGGUUCGAGUCCUGUCACCUCGA